UGCUCACUUCAGCAGCAUGCAUAUAAAACUGGAAAGUUACAGAGAUUAGCACGGCUCCUGCACAGGGAUGACUUGCAAAUGUAUAAAGAGUUCCAUAUUUUU